rnacentral:rRNA from 1 species
CACGGGGGGAGCAAGCGUUGUUCGGAAUCACUGGGCGUAAAGGGCGUGUAGGCGGUUAGGUAAGUGGAACGUGAAAUCCCUCGGCUCACCCGAGGACCUGCGUCCCAAACUGCCUAGCUUGAGUAUGGGAGAGGAUGAGGGAAUUCCAGGUGUAGCGGUGAAAUGCGUAGAUAUCAGGAAGAACACCGAUGGCGAAGGCAGCUCUCUGGGACGGUACUGACGCUGAGACGCGAAAGCGUGGGGAGCGAACAGG